rnacentral:lncRNA from 1 species
UGGCUUUCAACAAAAAUGAUCAAUUUGCACAUUCGUCAUCCUCAAACACAUAUGGGUUUCAACACAUUUUCAUAUCAUCCAAGAAAACAACCAUACAAUCCAUAUCAAUAUGCUCAUCCUAACAAAUCAAAAUGCUCGCAUGAAAAGUUGCCAUAGACAGACUCACAAACACCAAACAAAAACCAAAACAAAACGAACACACAGACUCAAGACAAAAGACAUAAAAACUCCCCCACACUUAAACAACACAAUGUCCUCAUUGUGUGGGGAAAAACAAAGAACAAAGACACAAAACAAAGAAAGCAUAAAAGACAAGAAAAAGAAAAAAAAUAAAAUAAAAUAAAAACGAAAGCAAACUAACAAAAACUUCCCUGAAACUGGAUCAAUCAUCAGGUGGUUUCAAUUUCCGCUUUGGCAGUUUCACAAUUGAAGGCACAAUCUGUCCAGUGCUGGUCGGUAUGGGCAUACCGCGCGACAGAUGCCAAGUGUGAAUUUCAUUGGUGGAGUUCGACUGCACUUUACACCCUUGAAUUUCAUCAUAAUAUUCUGGUGGUUCUUUA